rnacentral:rRNA from 1 species
GACGAACGCUGGCGGCGUGCUUAACACAUGCAAGUCGAACGGAGUGGCGAACGGUUGAGAAAAACGUGGGUGCUUUGCUUUGCCUUUCGGGAAAGGCUUGGGAAACUGGUUCAAAUCCCGGAAAGUGCAAGAUGAGCCAGCGGCCUAUCAGCUUGUGGGUGGGGUAAUGGCCUACCAAGGCGUCGACGGGUAGCCGGCCUGAGAGGGUGUACGGCCACAUUGGGACUGAGAUACGGCCCAGACUCCUACGGGAGGCAGCAGGGGGGAAUAUUGCACAAUGGGCGGAAGCCUGAUGCAGCGACGCCGCGUGGGGGAUGAAGGCCUUCGGGUUGUAAACUCCUUUCGACAGGGACGCGGUACCUGUAUAAGAAGCACCGGCUAACUACGAGCCAGCAGCCGCGGUAAUAC